rnacentral:lncRNA from 1 species
GAGCAAACCAAUGCCUUGCACUUCUAAGCUGUAUCCUUUGCUCCCUCCCUGAGAGGCAGCCGUGUACUCUGGGCUUCCUAGACUGUGAAGAGGUGCCUCCAACAAGAAAAACCAAUGUCUAGCAAGUCCUCUAAGGGCAGGGAUUCUGGAGAGGUCGCCCUGUCCUCAGCUUGGCCCUGGCACAUUCUGGCUGCAGAAAAUGGGCCUGCUGCUCUAAGAGGUUGGACUCAAGGAGUCCUCUAGCACAGGGGCCAUGAAAAUAAAUGACUUCCUUGUUUGCUGAUGGAGCAGAGGUAGAAUCUCUUGGUGUUUCCAAAGAGAAAACGCUGACUGUGAAGAGCCGAGAAAGAUGACGUGAUGAAGCCAUCAGGGGAGGCACCAAACAUCCUCAACUCUGCUCACCUAUGGUUUUCUCCAGCCCUCCCAGAGCUCCUCCUGCAUUUCAGGUUACCAAGGGUUUCACAACUGGUUCACAAGUCUUGACUGUAAUGACCAGCUCAUGCAACUCCAGCACCUCAUCAUCUCCGCCCUGUCCCAGAAAAUCCCCACAUCACACCCAGGCUGAAUGUCACUUUCAGCUUCUCAGUCAGAAGGAGAAGUGGUUAAAUAUACCAGGAUGGUAA